rnacentral:rRNA from 1 species
UAGUCCACGCCGUAAACGAUGAGUACUAGUUAUUGGGGGUAUUGACCCCCUCAGUGACGCAGCUAACGCAUUAAGUACUCCGCCUGGGAAGUACGGUCGCAAGACUAAAACUCAAAGGAAUUGACGGGGGCCCGCACAAGCGGUGGAUUAUGUGGUUUAAUUCGAAGCAACGCGCAGAACCUUACCUAGGCUUGAAAUCCUACGAAUCUGGUGUAAUUACCGGAGUGCCCGCAAGGGAAUGUAGUGACAGGUGCUGCAUGGCUGUCGUCAGCUCGUGUUGUGAAAUGUUGGGUUAAGUCUCGCAACGAGCGCAACCCCUAUCUUUAGUUGCCAGCAUUAAGUUGGGCACUCUAGAGAGACUGCCGGUGACAAACCGGAGGAAGGUAAGGAUGACGUCAAGUCAGCAUGCCCCUUAUGCUCUGGGCUACACACGUGCUACAAUGGCCGUGACAAAGAGUUGCUACUUUGUGAAAACAAGCUAAUCUCAUAAACGCGGCCUCAGUUCGGAUUG